rnacentral:rRNA from 1 species
UGCCAGCCGCCGCGGUAAUACGAAGAAUACAAACAUUGCUCGGAAUUAUUGGGCGUAAAGCGCACGUAGGCGGUCCGUUAAGUCGGAUGUGAAAGCCCUUGGCUCAACCGAGGAAGUGCAUUCGAAACUGUCGGACUUGAGUAUGGGAGAGGGUCGCGGAAUUCCCGGUGUAGAGGUGAAAUUCGUAGAUAUCGGGAGGAACACCAGAGGCGAAGGCGGCGACCUGGACCAAUACUGACGCUGAGGUGCGAAAGCGUGGGGAGCAAACAGGAUUAGAUA